ACUGCGAGUGAAGCGGCAAAAGCUCAAAUUUGAAAAGGGGCCCGUGGGGGCGUGAUUUUUCUCAGCUCUGACCCCCCAGUUGUAAUUUAGAGGAUUACCUUGGCAAUUGGCCGUCGUCUCAAGUUCUUUGGAACAAGACAUCACAGAGGGUGAGAGUCCCGUCAAAUAAGGUGGCGUGCCGAAAGCCGUUGUGGUAUAUCCAACGAGUCGAGUUGUUUGGGAAUGCAGCUCAAAAUGGGUGGUAAAUUUCAUCUAAAGCUAAAUACAGGCUGGAGACCGAUAGCGCACAAGUAGAGUGAUCGAAAGAUGAAAAGCACUUUGAAAAGAGAGUUAAAUAGUACGUGAAAUUGUUGAAAGGGAAGCGCUUGAGACUAGAUUCGACUGGCGGCGUUCAGCCAUUGCAUAUUUCUGCAUGGUGCAUGUGUCGUCGGUUGAGCCAGCAUCGGUUCUAAUGGCGGGAUAAAGGUUCGAGGAAUGUGGCUCCACAAUUAUGGGGAGUGUUAUAGCCUUGAGCGCAAUGCCGCCUAUUGGGAUCGAGGACCGCGCUUAAGCUAGGAUGCUGGCAAAAAGGUCUUAAGCGGCCCGUCUUGAAACACGGACCAAGGAGUCUAACAUCUAUGCGAGUGUUUUGGCUGGAAACCAUUGCGCGUAAUGAAAGUGAACGAGGUGGGAACCCCUUGGGGUGCACCAUCGACCGAUCCCGAUGUUUACGGAAGGAUUUGAGUAGAAGCAUAGCUGUUGGGACCCGAAAGAUGGUGAACUAUGCCUGAAUAGGGUGAAGCCAGAGGAAACUCUGGUGGAGGCUCGCAGCGGUUCUGACGUGCAAAUCGAUCG
rnacentral:rRNA from 1 species